AACCAACAGGGAUUGCCUCAGUAACGGCGAGUGAAGCGGCAAAAGCUCAAAUUUGAAACCCUCGGGAUUGUAAUUUGAAGAUUUGGCAUUGGAGAAAGCUAACCCAAGUUGCUUGGAAUAGUACGUCAUAGAGGGUGACAACCCCGUCUGGCUAACCGUUCUCCAUGUAUUGCCUUAUCAAAGAGUCGAGUUGUUUGGGAAUGCAGCUCAAAGUGGGUGGUAAACUCCAUCUAAAGCUAAAUACUGGUGAGAGACCGAUAGCGAACAAGUACUGUGAAGGAAAGGUGAAAAGAACUUUGAAAAGAGAGUGAAAUAGUAUGUGAAAUUGUUGAUAGGGAAGGAAAUGAGUGGAGAGUGGCCGAGGUUUCAGCCGCCCCUCGUGGGCGGUGUACUGCCGACGCCGAGUCAUCGAUAGCGAGACGAGGGUUACAAAUGGGAGCGCCUUUCGGGCGUUCUCCCCUAACCCUCCACACUGCCACCGACGACAUAAUCCAC
rnacentral:rRNA from 1 species